rnacentral:autocatalytically_spliced_intron from 1 species
UCUCCCGCGAGGGGGAAUCUGAAGGCAGCCCGAGGCAAAACGCUGGCCUGACGAACAGGAA